rnacentral:rRNA from 1 species
UACAGAGGGUGCAAGCGUUGUUCGGAAUUAUUGGGCGUAAAGGGCGCGUAGGCGGUGCCACAAGUCACUUGUGAAAUCUCCGGGCUUAACUCGGAGCCUACAGGCGAAACUGUGGUGCUGGAGUGUGGGAGAGGUGCGUGGAAUUCCCGGUGUAGCGGUGAAAUGCGUAGAUAUCGGGAGGGACACCUGUGGCGAAAGCGGCGCACUGGACCAUAACUGACGCUGAUGCGCGAAAGCUAGGGGAGCAAACAGG